AUGAAUCGAGGGAGGGGAGGGAUUACCGCAGAUUUUGAUGGGGGCCUCGAGCUCCAGGAGGUUGGGCUGCGCGAGGAAGAUCUCCUUGGAGGCGGCGCAGAGCUGCUUGAUCUCCGACUCGGACAGCUGCGCGUUCUUCCCGGGCUUGAGCGGCGACAGUUAAAGAAGAAGAAAACAAGGCUAUCCCCGCAACAGCAACAAAAAGGAAAGGAAUCAAGCACAGAUCGAGCAAAUCUCGCUCUGCUUUGCUCUUUUGGGGGAUUGGAUUGGAGGCGGCGGCGGGCUCGUGAUGAUCACUGUGCCGGCCGGGAGGGUCCGAACCAAAGGUACCUUUUUUCUCCUCGGCCUUUCCGGUCUCCUCCGCCCGCUUUAUUCUUCCCUCGUGCUCCGGGAUUCCUUCUUGUUCUUGUUCUCGGAGGAGGCCGGAGCUCGUCUCUUCUCGCCCGGUGGGGAUUUUCGCCUGGCCUUCUCACUGAUCUCUUCUUGUUCUUGGCAUUGGUCAGGGUCUCCUCUCCCACCCUCCCCCUAUCUCUCUCUCUACCUCUCUCUGUCACUUUCUCUCUCCUUGUGCCAAUUCCCCAAGGACUAGUAUUGGACUUUGUGGAAUAA
rnacentral:rRNA from 1 species